rnacentral:rRNA from 1 species
AACGCGAAGAACCUUACCUGGGCUCGAAAUGCAGAGGACCGCACCAGAAACGGUGCUUUCCGCAAGGACUUCUGUAUAGGUGCUGCAUGGCUGUCGUCAGCUCGUGUCGUGAGAUGUUGGGUUAAGUCCCGCAACGAGCGCAACCCUUAUUGCCAGUUGCCACCGGGUUAUGCCGAGCACUCUGGCGAAACCGCACAGGAUAACUGUGAGGAAGGUGGGGAUGACGUCAAGUCCUCAUGGCCUUUAUGUCCAGGGCUACACACGUGCUACAAUGGUCGGUACAAACCGUCGCAAACCCGCGAGGGGGAGCUAAUCGGAAAAAGCCGGCCUCAGUUCGGAUUGGAGUCUGCAACCCGACUCCAUGAAGCUGGAAUCGCUAGUAAUCGCGGAUCAGAACGCCGCGGUGAAUACGUUCCCGGGCCUUGUACACACCGCAUAC